rnacentral:rRNA from 1 species
GACGAACGCUGGCGGCGUGCUUAACACAUGCAAGUCGAACGGAAAGGCCCUGCUUUUGUGGGGUGCUCGAGUGGCGAACGGGUGAGUAACACGUGAGUAACCUGCCCUUGACUUUGGGAUAACUUCAGGAAACUGGGGCUAAUACCGGAUAGGAGCUCCUGCUGCAUGGUGGGGGUUGGAAAGUUUCGGCGGUUGGGGAUGGACUCGCGGCUUAUCAGCUUGUUGGUGGGGUAGUGGCUUACCAAGGCAUUGACGGGUAGCCGGCCUGAGAGGGUGACCGGCGACAUUGGGCCUAAGGUACGGCCCAGACUCCUACGGGAGGCAGCAGUGGGGAAUAUUGCACAAUGGGCGGAAGCCUGAUGCAGCAACGCCGCGUGCGGGAUGACGGCCUUCGGGUUGUAAACCGCUUUCGCCUGUGACGAAGCGUGAGUGACGGUAAUGGGUAAAGAAGCACCGGCUAACUACGUG